ACUGUCGGACACAAACACUUGAUAUCACUCUUUUAUAUAUUUUUAAAUCUUAAACACCGUCAAAAACAAAUGCUUGAUACCACUCUUUUAUAUAUAUAUUUUUCUUUCUAUCAAUUGUUUACUUUUUCUUCCAAAAAGAUAUCUUCUAAACACAUCCAUAAAACUAUGUCUUUACAAUUUCAUAAUAUCUCACAAAUUACAAGCAAUUUCAUGCAAUAGAAUUUGAAAGUAUGAGUUAUUCGACCCUGGCAAGUGCCGGAUAAAUUCAAACCUGAGAUAUCCUAUUCAAUUCAUAUGAUAUUACAGAAUGUAAAGAUACUGAUUAUUCUCUUUUUCUUUUACAGACUCCUAUCAAGAACAAUCUUUCAGGAUGUGGAUCAUCCAUAACAGAUAUCAACAUUGAUUUGACAUAGAAGCAAUAUUCCAAGAGAAGCAAAUCUGUAGGAAAACUCCCACUGCAUGAAUAUGAUGAUGAAUGUAAUGGCAAACAAUCCAUCAAUAAAGUUCGCAAAGUGAUUAAGAAGGAAAAAAAUAUGAUGUGAAAACUCCAUGGUCAACUUUAUUUAAUUUUCUGUAAAUUUUAUUUUUAAUUUAAUUUUAUGAUACAUAACCUAAGUUCCGUGUACUGUUUACAAUAUCUUUCAUUUAUGAACAAAUAUUAUAUUAAAUAUUUGUAUAAUGUAAUGAAAAGUAUUUAUUAUUGUUUCAUAUUCCAUAAUCCACUUUGUAUUAUUCAAUCUUAUUUUCAGAAACUUUU
rnacentral:lncRNA from 1 species